UGCUACGUAUUUUUAACGUAUAACAUUUAUCUUAAAAAAUAUCUGUCUAUACAACCAUAAUUCACUUCACAGUUAAUUAGAAAACAUUAUAAUAGCAUCAGUAUUAUUAUUUUUAUAUCAAAAAAUAUGCAUGAUGAAGUAAAGGGAUAUCAACGAUUCUGGUGGCGGAGUGCAAAUGUACGCGUUAUAUAGAUGAUAUUCAGUAAUGGCGUCCUGGGGGCGGACAAAAUGCUCGGGUCGAUAGGAGGAAGGUUGCUUGCCUACGAAACUCAAAUACGCUCUUAUUGCCGAUGAUCAUCCCCACUUAUAAUAAACUUUUCUGUGACUUAUCCCCAGGAAUGUAAUCAACAUUCAAAACCGAUUAUAUCGUAAUAAAAUCUCUUAAUCCGGAUCAGAACCCGAAAAUCGUCGUUUAAAAGGAUCAACAUCAGCAGUCCAUCUGAGAUACCUAAUAUAUCACUAAGAACUCAACAUCUUUCCAUUUUCGUGACAUAGGAAGACAAAUUUAGUCAGCGUAUACGACAUGACCAAGUAACCUGGAAAUGAAAGGUACGUCGACACACGUACAGGAAUAAAAGGAGCUGUACCGCUAAGAAGACGAAGAAGAAGAAGAAGGAGAAGAAGAAAACCAAGGAGAACGCGACCUUGCUACAUUCAGCUGUGUCAUCCUUGAGCCGUUAACGCUCAGGUGGUUUCGAUCCCAGGGACGAGCAUCAAUCAUCAUUGGUAGUGCAGGUGUAAUGUGAUCAUUGUCACUGAGAUAACCCAGUACGAUAUUCACUUACGAAGCGUGUCGAGUGACAUAACAGAGUUUAUCUAUAACAGCGUAUCUAAAUAUUAAAAGAAACGGCUACAAUAUUUGCUUCUUGAUCGAGUACAAUUUGUUAAGCCUUUGAAAGAUAUCACAUAAGAAUUGUUUACAUGUUGCAAAAAUUACAUGAAAAUUUGAAAUUAUAUGCUUUUACGUUAUCCAUUAAUUUAUAUACUUUAAUAUAUAUGCUAAUAUCUAAUAUUUGUGUAGCUUCAAAAGUGUCUUUUCAUAAAAACACAGGAGAUUAAAUUAAACAAUAAUAAAAAUUAUGAUU